rnacentral:rRNA from 1 species
GCGCAGCAGGCGAGAAACCUCCGCAAUACACGAAAGUGUGACGGGGCCAUCCCGAGUGCCGUCCGCUGAGGACGGCUUUUCCCCAGUGUACACAGCUGGGGGAAUAAGGAGAGGGCAAGCCUGGUGUCAGCCGCCGCGGUAAUACCGAGCUCUCCGGAGUGGUGGGGACGCUUAUUGGGCCUAAAGCAUCCGGUAGCCGGCUGGGCAAGUCCUCCGUUAAAUCCAACGAUUCAAUCGUUGGGCUGCGGGGGAUAC